AGUUGUGCAGCUUCAUAGAAACCAAGGAGGGGUAUCAACCACUGGUAUGAUUCUUCUAUCCCUGCCUCAUUCUAUCGUCCGCUGCCUCAAAGACCUAACUUUUACCUAAGCACUACUCUUCUUGCCUUCAGCUCCAAAAGCCCAGUGAGGCUUAGCAGGAAUACGCAUCAUUGCCUUAACUCCUAAUGGGUUGUCCUUACUCAUUAAGCAGGUUCCCUGGUUAAUGUUGCAGAUGGGAUAGUCGUGUGGGCAGCAACUGUAACGGUCUUCACAGCAGGGAGCACCCUCAAGUGGGCAGCAUCCCCAUUG
rnacentral:misc_RNA from 1 species